AAUCUGCACAACCGGCUUAAUGU
rnacentral:miRNA from 1 species